rnacentral:lncRNA from 10 species
AGGUUUCUCUCUGUUGCUCAGGCUGGAGUGCAGUUCUACAAUCAGGGCUCACUGCAGCCUCUGCCUCCUGGGCUCAAGUGAUCUCCCACCUCAGCCUCCAGAGUAGCUGCUACAGGCAUGUGCCACCCCACAGCAGGCUAAUUAAAAAAAAAAUGUAGAGAUGGUGUCUCCCUGUGUUGCCCAGGCUGAUCUCCAACUCCUGUUCUCAAGCAGUACCUCCCUCUUGGCCUCCAAAGUGCUUGGAUUACAAACGCGAGCCACCACAUUGGACUUCAACAUUGCCUUGUGCAAACAUUUUACUAUCAAAGAUGUGCUUAAAAUAAAGAUCUUCAAAUAGGGAGAGUGACUUUGAUCAUCUUGGUAGUCCCUACAUCCAAUCACAUGUACCUUUAAAAGACAGAGGCAUAGAAAGACUUGACACAUAUAAAAGGAAAAUGUAUAAGUACAAAACCUCUUGAGAACCUUUCUGGAAUCAAUAGCCACAGAUGCGUCUGUUACUUGUGUUUUUCACAGGCAAGCCCUCUAGCUGGCUCAAUAAACCUCAAUUGAUUGGGACAACUGCCUCGGUCACUCAAUUUGGUUGUCGAAUUGAUACCACUACACCCUUACCAGCCAUCCUACAACCAAGACAUUAUAGAACCUACAGAACUGAUACAACAUUGUGGAUUGCACAUUGAGACCCAGAAACACCUGUGUGCUUUGAUGACAUAAUUAAACUGUUGGAUCAACCUGAAUACUCUUCCUAUUCUGGACUUUAUGUAAAGUUGAAACUCUUUAAAAGCCUUGGAUUUAAAAAGCAUCCCAGGUUGCACUUUCCAGACAAACGGAGGCAUUCUUGUUAUUGGUAUGAUUGAGAGACCUGAACUUCAGAAACGAAGAUCAAAUCCUCAGAGAUUCUUACUUCUGUAAGCACAAUAAGGGAAGAGAUUUUGGGGUCUCUGUUUGCUGCAUAUUACAAAACAGCAAAUUAUUCAAGUCUACUGUGUUUUAGGCACAUUCUGCAGGGGUCUGAUAAGGAGAUCUCAAUAGAGUGAUUCUAAGAAGCAGAAUGCAUAUUCUUUUAGCAUAACUGGGCAAGUAAUCAAUAAAGUAAAUGUACUAUUAUACAAUCAAUUUGAAUUUAGUAAGCAAAUUCAGGAUGAGAAAUCAUGUUGAAAGCUGUAAUACUUUCUGUAUGAUCAGAGUUAAAUGUACCAACUAGCAAAACUGAAUUUUUAAAAUACUUUUGCUUUUACUAUGCAUUUGAAUAAACACUUUCCGCUGAAAGUAUCAAUGUGGCUAUUUUAUAUAUAAAGAGUAACACUAUCAUUUUUAAAAAAACUUUCCUCCAUUCUUGAUUUCUUGUCAUUUUUUAACUUUUAAAAAAUCAAACCACAUGGCAACAGCAACUAAAAGGACUAAAAAUGAAAUAUAGUAACACGCUAAUGGCAGUAUCAAAUUUUGUGAAAAAUUUCAGAUACUUGGG